rnacentral:lncRNA from 1 species
AGGGAACUCAGUUAUAUCCUCAGGCCACACUACCAUCUCUCAAGCCUCCAGUCUGUCCCCAGCCUCUACCAGUAGCCAAGCAGGCUCACCUGGUGCAUCUGUUGCAACUACCUCAGGAGAGACUGGUAGCAGCACCACUCUUCCUGAAAGUACUGGAGCUCCAGAUUCAGCCACAACAGGACCAUCAUCUGGAACAACAUCUGGAGUAGCUGGGAGCAGCACCCCUCCUCCUGCAAGUACAGGAAGCCCAGGAUCAGGGAGCUCAGUGACAUCCUCGAGCCACACUACCACCCCUCAAGCAUCCAGUCUAUCCACAGCCUCUGUCAGCAGCAAACCAGGAACAACUGGAUCAUCAGUUGGAAUAACUAGAUCCCCGAGCAGUGAGCUGACCUCCACUGAAGGCAAUGCAGGCACGAGUGGAGGAAAAGGUGAGACAGUGACUGCAACCACUGCAGGAAGCACAUCUGGAAGAACAGGUACUGAGGGGUAGGGGAAGGUGAUGAUAGAGAGGCCAGGAGGAGACCUGAGAGCUUAGUGGUCAGAUUCGCUCAAUGACAAAAGUUUUCCUGGAGAUUUGUCACAUUGUUUCCCAUGUGAGACUAAUUGCUCCAUAGAUGAGAAACAGACCAUAAAUAUUUGCU